GAGAAAAGGGAACAUGCUUAACCACCCCCACUGUCACCAGGGCUCACUGCUUUGUUCAGAGUAGGGACUGCUGCUCCUCAGGGAGGGAAAAGCAGAGAGUGCAAUCGUGUACCAAAGGGGAGGGAGCUACUGUGGUGCGCCCACUGUUGAUUCAGGAAUUCUUUCAAGAAUCAGUGGAAUAUCUAUGAUGUCAUAACCGGCCCUCCCACCCAUCAAGCCUCAGUCGAUCAAAGUGCUUUAUAGAUGUAACUACUUGAAGAGGGGCAAAGUCAUGGGUAUGAGUACACAGUGUUUGGCACAGAGCAGAACCAACUGCAAGGCAGAUCGACGAAGGUUUCAUCCUCAUAGAGGGCUCUCAUGUCAGAGGCGGCAGGCAGCACAGCAAAGCCCCCACGAGCAGCCUGCAGCACACCAGCUCAGCCACUUCAGCUCUGUGGGUCUGGGCUGCAAUCAUCAGCCCACUGCCACUCCUCCACCGCCACAGGAGGACACGGGGCCAGGAGCAGCUGGAGAUUUCAAUUCUACUUUUUUCAGUGAAACUAGCUGAAACCCUGCCUAGACCAAAUGUGAACCCUAAAACAAUUAACUGCAAAGAGUGAUGCACAGCACACGUCAGAUUCCUCAGACUUCAGACCUUAGUCAUUCUUGGCUGCAGCUUUUUAAAGAAACUAUUCACCAUUCUGCUUUCCAAGCGAAGACAAUCGUGUCCCAGGUAUCAUCUGCUAAAAUUAUUCAAGGUCAGAACAAGGACUCCAAUUAGUGUGGACAGGAAGGAUAUGUCUUCCUUGCCGAUCACACUAAAAGAUGCUGAGAUUCUCAGCCAAUUCUCCAUUCAAGCCCUCUGACCAAUUUCAAACAAGGAAACACUGCUUGUAGAAAUGGAGUACUGAAAGCUCAAGUCACUGCUAUAACCCACAAGAUACGCAGAAACUCGGACCCUACAACCAAACCCUGCAGCACUUUCUUCAUGCCUGCACAAGGGGGAGGCUAGCAAAGGCAAACGUGGCCAGCCUUGGAAGAACUCAGAACUAUGUGUCUGCAUCAUACAGACAUAUCAAAGAUAAAAAUGUAAUGUACCCAAGCAAGAAAGAUCUUCUGCCUGCUAUAAAAAUCCCAGGAUUACUUAAGAGCUAGAUUUCUGAAAGGACUCAACAUUUUCUUCCACCAAAUGAGGCUGAGAUUGGAUUAUGAAAAUUCGCAAACAUCAGAAAUAAUUCAUUCUAUUUGCACAUGCAAAAUUCUAUCUGUUUUAACUCUUUUCCUAGGUUUUUACUAUGAAGAAGCAGUCAGGA